CCUACGGGUGGCAGCAGUCGAGAAUCAUUCACAAUGGGGGAAACUCUGAUGGUGCGACGCCGCGUGGGGGAAUGAAGGUCUUCGUAUUUUAAACCCCAGUCAUGUGGGAGCAAAUGAAAAUGAUAGUACCACAAGCUGAAGAGACGUCUAACUCUGUGCCAGCAGCCGCGGUAAUACAGAGGUCGCAAGCGUUGUUCGGAUUCACUGGGCGGAAAGCGUGCGUAGGCGGUUGCGUAAGUCGUAUGUGAAAGGCGCGGGCUCAAGCCGCGGAAGGCACAUGAUACUGCGAGACUAGAGUAAUGGAGGGGGAAGCGGAAUUCUCGGUGUAGCAGUGAAAUGCGUAGAUA
rnacentral:rRNA from 1 species